CUUAAAACUACUUUCUUUCUCGUGGGAGCUGAGUAUUCAACUCAGAAAUAGAUGUAUAACUCCAAUAUUCUGACCUGACAUCAAUCUCCAUAAUGUAUACCUCAAUACCCUUAUGAUGUCUCACUUAACACUAAAGGCCAAAUUAUUUUUACCAACCAUCAGCUGACAUUGAGUAAGCAAGUCUUUUGAAGAUUUCAAAAGUAAUAGAUGGUGGCCAGGCGUGGUGGCUCACACCUAUAAUCUGAGUACUUUGGGAGGCUGUGAGGCAGGAAGAUCACUUGAGCCCAGGAGGUCCAGGCUGCAGUGAGCCAUGAUCAGGCCACUGCACUCCAGCCUGGGUGACAGAGUGAAACACUGUUUCUAAAAAUAAAAAUUAAAGAAUAAUGGAUGGCAUUAUUCAGCCAUGGGGAGGACCACCUGAAAUACUGUUACACACAGUGGGUCAAGACCACUUCAAAAGCCUUAUGAAAAUAGCACAACUCAGGCAAGGCUUUUAUUCCACAAAGAAAAUGCAGUACAUUUUUUAGUUCCUUUAAAAAAAAAAAAACUCAGAUUUACUCCAGAGCCUAUGCACUUAGUCACUAAUCUAUACUGCAUCCCCAACCUAUUUUUUCCAUUUGGUUCAAUUUUAUACAUUUAAAACUAACUGCUUUGGUCAAAUACGUACCAUCUUUGGUUCACAUUAAAAGAUUAUGGUCCAAAACUGGCCAGAAGUUAAGAAAUAUCAACAAAAUAGGAAGUUUGAAAUACAAUUUAGGAAUGGAAUGCUUUUAGAGCUUGUUUCAUUGAAGAUAAUAAUUUAUCUCAUAUUGAACUACAUUAACGAUGUUCUGGCUAGGUGCAGUGGCUCACACCUGUAAUCCCAACACUUUAGGAGGCCAAGCUUCUAUUUCAUUAAAAAUAUAUAUCUCUCUCUAGAUUCUUUUUGUAUCUCUUCAUGUUAAGUGCAUGGAAA
rnacentral:lncRNA from 10 species